UAUUGGACAAUGGGCGAAAGCCUGAUCCAGCAAUGCCGCGUGAGUGAUGAAGGCCUUAGGGUUGUAAAGCUCUUUUACCCGGGAUGAUAAUGACAGUACCGGGAGAAUAAGCUCCGGCUAACUCCGUGCCAGCAGCCGCGGUAAUACGGAGGGAGCUAGCGUUGUUCGGAAUUACUGGGCGUAAAGCGCACGUAGGCGGCUUUGUAAGUCAGGGGUGAAAGCCUGGAGCUCAACUCCAGAACUGCCUUUGAGACUGCAUCGCUUGAAUCCGGGAGAGGUGAGUGGAAUUCCGAGUGUAGAGGUGAAAUUCGCAGAUAUUCGGAAGAACACCAGUGGCGAAGGCGGCUCACUGGACCGGUAUGACGCUCAUGCACGAAA
rnacentral:rRNA from 1 species